UUGCGCGAUGUAGACAUUUUUACUCCGAGCAGCGGGUGGUUCAAUUCCGGCCCCGGUCCCGGAGCGGCUUGGGCCGCCGGUAAGAGCGGAAGUCUCCGCCACUUGCACACUUCAAAUCCCUUUUCGGCCGCGCUUAGCAGGAGGCGUGGUCCUUAUAGACACUUUCAAGACGGUAAUUUCCAAAUCUCAAAACUGUUUCGGUUGUCAAAAAGAUGACGAGCACCAACUGCGUUCAGGAUCACAGUCCAGUGGGGCUGAAAGAGCCUAACCACAGCCUGUGAGACUGGUGCCGGGACAGAGAAAACAUGAUGAACAUGUGCAGAGGGGCUUCUGGCUCUGAGGAAAGAACCCAGCACCCAGCUCUCCCUCUCAGAGGAUGACCUUCUUUUUUAUUUUGAGAAAACAGAAGCCAUCAGAUGAGAAUCUAAACUCUAUAAACCAUGGCCCUCCCCUAGUAUUACACAAAAAUAAAAGCCAGCCCCUCCCUGGACCCCACCACCAGUGCCUUAUGGGUGACAGCUGGAUUAUACCCUCCCUCCUGCUUCUUUUUUGUUUUUGAAAUGAAGUAAUUUAAGUAAUGACUAUA